rnacentral:pre_miRNA from 1 species
CAGCUCCUCUUUAGGUUGCCUUGUGGUCACUUCAACCAAGCUGCCUGAUGAAGAGCUGUCC